rnacentral:rRNA from 1 species
UAGGGAAUCUUCGGCAAUGGGGGCAACCCUGACCGAGCAACGCCGCGUGAGUGAAGAAGGUUUUCGGAUCGUAAAGCUCUGUUGGUAAGAGAAGAACGUGUGUGAGAGUGGAAAGUUCACACAGUGACGGUAACUUACCAGAAAGGGACGGCUAACUACGUGCCAG